UACGAGGACCCCGAGCGUUAUCCGGAAUUACUGGGCGUAAAGCGUGAGUAUCCGGCUUUGCUAGUCUCAUGUUAAAUCUCAUUGCUCAACGAUGAGACCGCAUGGGAAACGGCAUGGCUAGAGCGGGUGAGAGGCAAGCGGAACGUGCGGUGUAGGGGUGAAAUCCAUUGAUAUCGCACGGAACACCAAAAGCGAAAGCAGCUUGCUAGCGCUCUGCUGACGGUCAAUCACUAAAGCGUGGGGAUCAAAAAGG
rnacentral:rRNA from 1 species